AGAGCGAACGCUGGCGGCAGGCCUAAUACAUGCAAGUCGAACGGACCCCUCGGGGUUAGUGGCGGACGGGUGAGUAACACGUGGGAACGUGCCCUUUGGUUCAGAACAACUCAGGGAAACUUGAGCUAAUACUGAAUGUGCCCUUCGGGGGAAAGAUUUAUCGCCAUUGGAGCGGCCCGCGUCUGAUUAGCUAGUUGGUAGGGUAAAGGCCUACCAAGGCUACGAUCAGUAGCUGGUCUGAGAGGAUGAUCAGCCACACUGGGACUGAGACACGGCCCAGACUCCUACGGGAGGCAGCAGUAGGGAAUCUUGCGCAAUGGGCGAAAGCCUGACGCAGCCAUGCCGCGUGAAUGAUGAAGGUCUUAGGAUUGUAAAAUUCUUUCAGCGGGGACGAUAAUGACGGUACCCGCAGAAGAACGCCCCGGCUAACUUCGUGCCAGCAGCCGC
rnacentral:rRNA from 1 species